ensembl:lncRNA
ACGAAGCUGAGAGCUAUCAGCAGCGAGAGCAAUUUCAACUCUCACAAAAUACGUGUUUAUGAUAUCUUUAGUAGUAAGGACCACAUUCAGAGCUGACUGAGAGACAAAACGUCCUGUAUUGCGAGCUGGAAGUAACUGAUCGGGGAAGAUUAUACUACUGACAGCCUAUAUGGUUAACAAAGCUAAGCGAGGAUAAAGCUGCUGACGUGAGGGAGUUAAAGAGUUGUUGCAUUGGAGCAAAUUGUCACUUGCAGCACCCUAGAACUUUGUUACUCUGCUGUCGCUACUGCACUUUCCACUGUGUUACUCUAUUGUUAAGAACUUUCUACCAUGAAGAACGUCGAAGAGUUCCAGCGGUAAUACUGGCAGGUCAAAAUCCAGACCAAUCACUGAAGUCUGAAGAACUUCAUGAAAUGAGGAUUCACGUCCAGUGAAUAUAACUCUUUGCAUUUUACCUGGAAGGCCUCUGAGCUCAGGCACUGAAAUGGCUAGAGAUGCAAUUUUUGAAACUUUAGAUCUGUGGCUGGCAAAGAACUAGGUCUGUAGAAGAGAAUUUAUGGUCUGUAAUCAGGUUAAGGGGAAGAAAACGAACAAUAAAAGCAGCAAUACUGACUUGACUGAUAUCCUAACAACAAUUUAUGAGAUGUAUCUGGCUUUUGGUAGUGCUGCCUGACCUAACACCUCAGCUGGAAUAGCACUGAAACUCAUGGCAGGCCUGUCAGCAUUGAAGAGAAUGGAGAGGUGAUCCCUGCAGCUCCAUUUUCCUGCGGACUUACUAAUGGCAUCUGGUACAGUUUUAUUGCUGAGACCGUGGUGAAAUCACUCCAAGAUAAAAUUUCUGACUCUUCAAGCCUAUGACCUGACAGAAAUGGAACUUCCUGAAAUGAAGUCAUCAAGGAGCCCCUUGUACAGCUUUACUUAACAAGAGAAUCUUCUAAUGGUGGACAAAAGUACAAGAUGCUACAAAAUGAUGUUCUUUCUUGCUUUUAGAUGGUUUAAAUGUUUAUCAUUAACAAAAGAGAAUGUCAGAGCUUUGCCAAACACAACAGAUAAUUGUUUUCUGUUCUAGUGCAAGCAUUUGUCCUUUUUGAUAUGAGUAACAAGUGUGCUGAGUUUGUGAUAAUGGGAAGCUACGCUCACUCAUUCUGUUGAGAGGCUGUCAGCAGACCUUUCCUAUGCUUGUAGUGUGAUUUGAAGAUAAUGUGCUGCAUUUACCUAAAUGGACGGGAGGUAAUUCUGUCCUUGACCUUCUUUUCAAGAAUGACAAUGUGUUGGCCAAACAUAGUGUUGCAUCCUGUCUCACAUAGGGAAUAAUUUAUGAGAAAGUACUGACUGUUUCGAAGACUUCAACUUCAAAGCUUUGGCACUUUGUUAUGUAGUCUUCAGCUUAUUCCUCCAAAAACUGUUUUUUUUUCCCCACUAACAUUGUGUAUGUAACCUUGGCUCCCAGUCCCCUCCUCACUAAAAUGUUACCU